ensembl:lncRNA
UGAUUAACCUCAAACAAACAGGCCUGACCAAUCAGUGAUUAACCUCAAACAAACAGGCCUGACCAAUCAGUGAUUAACGUCAAAGGUAACCCCGCUCUCUGCCACUAGGUGGCGGUGCAGCGCUGUUUGCAAGAGACUGUUCUCCAACCAGGAGACGGUUCUCCAACCAGGAGACGGUUCCUCAACCAGGAGACGGUUCCUCAACCAGGAGACGGUUCCUCAACCAGGAGACGGUUCCUCAACCAGGAGACGGUUCUCCAUCCAGAAGGCGGUUUUCAUGUUGGGACUCAAGUCCUGAGGUUAAGGGUUAAGGGUUAAGGGUUAAGGGUGAAGUGAUGUUCGUUCAGAGACGGUCGGAGCGGGAUCCAAUGGGAAUGAGCCUCAGAGUGAAGCCUCUUCUACUCGUCCAAACACGGCCUGCAGAGCGUCACAGCUGGAGCUGAUGGAGCUGUGUUACCCCUCAGGAAGAGCUGGUUAGGGAGCUUAGGGUUAGUUAGGGAGGUUAGGGUUAGUUAUGGAGGUUAGCUUAGGGUUAGUUAGGGAGGUUAGGGUUAGUUAUGGAGGUUAGCUUAGGGUUUGUUAGGUAAGGGUUAGUUAGGGAGGUUAGGGUUAUUUAGGGAGGUUAGGGUUAGUUAUGGAGGUUAGCUUAGGGUUAGUUAGGGAGGUUAGGUAAGGGUUAGUUAGGAAG